GGGAGGUGGAGCUUGCGCAAGGCCGCUUCGACCUGUGGCUCCUGGACUAGUUUGCUUGCCUUAGCUGUACACGGAGGGCCCUGGAUCUGGUCGUGUGUGAGAAAUGAAACAAGGUAAUUGGCCAAAGGAAAACAAAGACCCAGAAGAACUGUCCUACACAAGUGAUUUAAAUCACCUCUCUGGCGAGCUCCUCCUCAGGGGAUGUCCGAACCUGCACUUCUCUUUAGGGUGUGUAUUAAUUCUUUGCUUCUGACUUAAUAAACUGCUUCUCUGUGUGCUCUCCCACAUGUUUUACUGUGACUCUAAUAAUAAAGCUUGCACCUAUUUUUAUAGU